GCAAUUACCCAAUCCCAGUACGGGGAGGUAGUGACGAAAAAUAACGAURCGGAACUCAUCCGAGGCCCCGUAAUCGGAAUGAGCACAACUUAAAUACUUUCACAAGUAUCCAUUGGAUGGCAAGCCUGGUGCCAGCAGCCGCGGUUAUUCCAGCUCCAAUAGCGUAUAUGAAAGUUGUUGUGAUCAAAAAGCUCGAAGUUGGAUUUGUGUCCCACGCCGUCGGUUCGUCGCCCGACGACCUAAUCGCACGGUUAUGUAAGUGGGACGUCCAGCCGGUGAGGCGCAGGUCUCGGCUUGGCGCAAGACGAACCGAAGCGAAAGCAUUUGGGGGAAUGUUUUCCUUAAUCAGGAACGAAAGUUAGAGGUUCGAAGGCAAUCAGAUAACGCCAUAGUUCUAACCAACAACGAUGCCAACUAGCGAUCCGCCGGUGUUCCUCCGAUGACCCGGCGGGUAGCUUCCGGGUGCCCAAAGUGUUUGGGUUCCGGGAGAAGUAUUGUUGCAAAGCUGAAAAUUAAAGGAAUUGAUGGAAGGGCACCACCAGGAGUGGAGCCUACGGCUUAAUAUGAAUCAACACGGGAAACCUCAGCAGGCCCGGACAUUGGAAGGAUUUACAGUUUGAUAGCUCUUUCUUGAUUCAGUGGGUGGUGGUGCAUGGCCGUUCUUAGUUGGUAGAGCGAUUUGUCUGGUUAAUUCCGAUAACG
rnacentral:rRNA from 1 species